GAUGAACGCUGGCGGCGUGCCUAAUACAUGCAAGUCGAGCGAACGGACGAGAAGCUUGCUUUUCUAAUGUUAGCGGCGGACGGGUGAGUAACACGUGGAUAACCUACCUAUAAGACUGGGAUAACUUCGGGAAACCGGAGCUAAUACCGGAUAAUAUUUUGAACCGCAUGGUUCAAAAGUGAAAGACGGUCUUGCUGUCACUUAUAGAUGGAUCCGCGCUGCAUUAGCUAGUUGGUAAGGUAACGGCUUACCAAGGCAACGAUGCAUAGCCGACCUGAGAGGGUGAUCGGCCACACUGGAACUGAGACACGGUCCAGACUCCUACGGGAGGCAGCAGUAGGGAAUCUUCCGCAAUGGGCGAAAGCCUGACGGAGCAACGCCGCGUGAGUGAUGAAGGUCUUCGGAUCGUAAAACUCUGUUAUUAGGGAAGAACAUAUGUGUAAGUAACUGUGCACAUCUUGACGGUACCUAAUCAGAAAGCCACGGCUAACUACGUG
rnacentral:rRNA from 1 species